rnacentral:rRNA from 1 species
CGAUCAGUAGCUGGUCUGAGAGGAUGAUCAGCCACACUGGGACUGAGACACGGCCCAGACUCCUACGGGAGGCAGCAGUGGGGAAUUUUCCGCAAUGGGCGAAAGCCUGACGGAGCAAUACCGCGUGAGGGAGGAAGGCUCUUGGGUUGUAAACCUCUUUUCUCAGGGAAUAAGUUCUGAAGGUACCUGAGGAAUAAGCAUCGGCUAACUCCGUGCCAGCAGCCGCGGUAAUACGGAGGAUGCAAGCGUUAUCCGGAAUGAUUGGGCGUAAAGGGUCCGCAGGUGGCCUUGUAAGUCUGCUGUUAAAGAGUGAGGCUUAACCUCAUAAAAGCAGUGGAAACUACAAAGCUAGAGUGCGUUCGGGGUAGCAGGAAUUCCUGGUGUAGCGGUGAAAUGCGUAGAGAUCAGGAAGAACACCGGUGGCGAAAGCGUGCUACUAGGCCGUAACUGACACUGAGGGAC